rnacentral:lncRNA from 1 species
UUUUUUUUUUUUUUUUUUUUUUUUUUUCUUCCUUUUUUUUCUCUUUCUAUUUUCUUUCCUUCUUUCUCUCCUCUUUUUCUCCUUUUCCCAGUACAACUUGCUUUUGGCCACUCUGCACUGAGCAAAAUGACUAGAAGGAAAACCUCACCUCAAAAGAAAGAAUCAGAAACAGUCCACUCUCCCAAAGAGUUACAAAAUCUGGAUUACAAUUCAAUGUCAGAAAGCCAAUUCAGAAGCACUAUUAUACAGCUACUGGUGGCUCUAGAAAAAAGCAUAAAGGACUCAAGAGACUUCAUGACUGCAGAAUUUAGAGCUAAUGAGGCAGAAAUUAAAAAUCAAUUGAAUGAGAUGCAAUCCAAACUAGAAGUCCUAACACCAGGGUUAACGAGGUGGAAGAACGAGUGAGUGACAAAGAAGACAAGUUGAUAGCAAAGAGGGAAACGGAGGAAAAAAGAGACAAACAAUUAAAAGACCAUGAAGAUAGAAUAAGGGAAAUAAACGACAGCCUGAGGAAGAAAAACCUACGUUUAAUUGGUGUUCCCGAGGGUGCCGAAAGGGACAGAGGGCCAGAAUAUGUAUUUGAACAAAUUCUAGCUGAAAACUUUCCUAAUCUGGGAAGGGAAACAGGCAUUCAGAUCCAGUUAAUAGAGAGAUCCCCCCCUAAAAUCAAUAACACGUGUCAACACCUCGACAUUUAAGUGAAGUUGCAAAUUCCAAGUAAAGAGAGAUCUUAAGCAGCAAGAGACAAGAAACCCUGACUUUUAUAGAGAGAGUUAGGGAACAGCUGACCCUUCCACAGAGACCUGGCAGGCCAGAAAGGGCUGGCUGGCAGGAUAUUUCAGGGUCCUAAAUGAGAAGAACAUGCAACCAAGAAUACUUUAUCCAGCAAGGCUCUCAUUCAAAAUGGAAGGAGGAUAAAGAGCUUCCAAGACAGGCAGAACUAAAAGAAAUGUGACCUCCAAACCAGUUCUGCAAGAAAUUUUAAGGGGGACUCUUAAAUUCCCCUUAACAAUAAGUUCAGUGGAACAUUCCACAAACAAAGGACUGAAUAGUUAUCAUGAUGACACUAAAUUCAUAUCUCUCAUAGUAACUCUGAAUGUGAUGGGCUUAAUGACCCCUCAAAAGGCACAGGGUUAGACUGGAUAAAAAAGCAGGACCAUCUAUUUGCUGUCUACCAGAGACUCAUUUGACAGAAGGACACUACCCUGAAAAAAAACGUUGUAGACCAUUUACCAUUUCGGUCCUCAAAAGAAAGCAGGGUAGCCAUCCUUAUAUCAGAUAAACUAAAAUUACCCCAAAGACUGUAGUGAGAGAUGAAGAGGACUAUAUCAUACUUAAAGGAUCUAUUCAAGAGGACUUAACAAUCCUCAAUAUAUAGCCGAAUGUGGGAGCUGCCAAAUAUAUAAAUCUAUUAACCAAAGUGAAGAAAUACUUAGAUAAUAAUAACUUAUAAUUGGUGACUUCAAUCUAGCUCUUUUCUACUCGAUAGGUCUUCUAAGCACAACAUCUCCAAAGAAACGAGAGCUUAAAUGAUACACUGGACAGAUGGAUUUCACUGAUAUCUACAGAACUUUACAUCCAAACUCAACUGAAUACAAUCUUCUCAGUGCACUAGGAACUUCUUCCAGAAUAGACACAUAUUGGGUCACAAAUCGGGUCUGAACUGAUACCAAAAGAUUGGGAUCGUCCCAGCAUAUUUUAGAUCAUAAUGCCUUGAAAUUAGAAAUAAAUAACAGAAGUUUGGAAGGACCUCAAACACGUGGAGGUUAAGGACCAUCCUGCUAAAAGAUGAAAGGGUCAACCAGGAAAUUAAGGAAGAAUUAAAAAGAUUCUUGGAAACUAAAUGAGAAUGAAGAUACAACCAUCAAAAUUUUGGGAUGCAGCAAAAGCAGUCCUAAGGGGGAAAUACAUCGCAAUACAAGCAUCCAUUCAAAACACUGGAAAGAACUCAAAUACAAAAGCUAACCUUACACAUAAAGGAGCUAGAGAAAAAACAGCAAAUAGAUCUCACACCCAAGAGAAGAGGGAGUUAAUAAAGAUUCGGGAAACUCAACGAAAUCGAGAACAGAAGAAAUGUGGAACAGAUCAACAGAACCAGGAGUUGGUUCUUUGAAAGAAUUAUAAGAUAGAUAAACCAUUAGCCAGCCUUAUUAAAAGAAGAGAGAGAAGACUCAAAUUAAUAAAUCAUGAAUGAGAAAGGAGAGAUCACUACCAACACCAAGGAAAUACAAACGAUAUUUAAAACAUAUUAUGAACAGUCUACGCCAAUAAAUUAGGCAAUCUAGAGAAAAGGGACGCAUUCCUGGAAAGCCACAAAAUACCAAAACUGGAACAGGAAGAAAUAGAAAAUCUUAACGGCCAAUAACCAGGGAGGAAAUUGAAGCAGUCAUCAAAAACCUCCC